UACAGAGGUCCCGAGCGUUGUUCGGAUUCACUGGGCGUAAAGGGUGCGUAGGCGGUCGGGUAAGUCUGACGUGAAAUCUCCGGGCCUAACCCGGAAACUGCGUUGGAAACUGCCUGGCUAGAGGAAUGGAGGGGAGACUGGAAUACUUGGUGUAGCAGUGAAAUGCGUAGAUAUCAAGUGGAACACCAGUGGCGAAGGCGAGUCUCUGGACAUUUCCUGACGCUGAGGCACGAAAGCCAGGGGAGCAAACGGG
rnacentral:rRNA from 1 species